UAAGUACUGGUCUCAGCAGAUUGAGGAGAGCACCACAGUGGUCACCACGCAGUCCGCUGAGGUUGGAGCUGC
rfam:Pan troglodytes isolate Yerkes chimp pedigree #C0471 (Clint) chromosome 2B, whole genome shotgun sequence.